AGAGUUUGAUCCUGGCUCAGGAUGAACGCUAGCUACAGGCUUAACACAUGCAAGUCGAGGGGCAGCGGGGAUCUAGCUUGCUAGAUUGCCGGCGACCGGCGCACGGGUGAGUAACGCGUAUCCAACCUUCCCCUUAGUAGGGCAUAGCCCGUAGAAAUGCGGAUUAAUACCCUAUGUUAUUCGUCGAUGACAUCUGAAGUGAAUCAAAGGUUUACCGCUAAGGGAUGGGGAUGCGUCCGAUUAGGCAGCAGGCGGGGUAACGGCCCACCUGGCCGACGAUCGGUAGGGGUUCUGAGAGGAAGGUCCCCCACAUUGGAACUGAGACACGGUCCAAACUCCUACGGGAGGCAGCAGUGAGGAAUAUUGGUCAAUGGGCGAGAGCCUGAACCAGCCAAGUAGCGUGCAGGAUGACGGCCCUAUGGGUUGUAAACUGCUUUUAUGCGGGGAUAAAGUCACCCACGUGUGGGUGUUUGUAGGUACCGCAUGAAUAAGGACCGGCUAAUUCCGUGCCAGCCGCCGC
rnacentral:rRNA from 1 species